GUUUCUGUAGUGUAGUGGUUAUCAUGUUCACCUGACACGCGGGAGGUCCCUGGUUUGAAACCAGGCAGAAACA
rnacentral:tRNA from 1 species